UACAGAGGGGGCAAGCGUUGUUCGGAAUUACUGGGCGUAAAGCGCGCGCAGGCGGCUAUCCAAGUCAGUGGUGAAAGCCCGGAGCUCAACUCCGGAACUGCCAUUGAAACUGUUUAGCUUGAGGAUGAGAGAGGUGAGUGGAAUUCCCAGUGUAGAGGUGAAAUUCGUAGAUAUUGGGAAGAACACCGGUGGCGAAGGCGGCUCACUGGCUCAUUACUGACGCUCAGGCGCGAUAGCGUGGGGAUCAAACAGG
rnacentral:rRNA from 1 species